UGCACAUUUUUUUUGGUUAAGUUUGGAAGAAAUGUAAUAAUUAUUUCUUUGUUUAUAGUUUAUUACUAUACUUCUGGAAAAGGAUAUAGCAUGAUAGACCUCUUUUGGGUGACCCACUUUCUCAGCAUGAGGAAACUUUUUCUCUUUUUCUUUUCUUUUCUUUUUUUUGAGACGGAGUGUUGCGGAAAUGUUUCGACCCCAAAUGAAACGUCUCCCCAAAGCUAUUAUAUACACACUUUUCAAAAUAAAUACCAACAAGUGCCAGUCUUUAGAGAUGUAUUUUA
rnacentral:lncRNA from 1 species